rnacentral:rRNA from 1 species
AGUGAACGCUGGCGGUAGGCCUAACACAUGCAAGUCGAACGGCAGCACAGUAAGAGCUUGCUCUUACGGGUGGCGAGUGGCGGACGGGUGAGGAAUACAUCGGAAUCUACUUUUUCGUGGGGGAUAACGCAGGGAAACUUACGCCAAUACCGCAUACGACGUACGGGUGAAAGCAGGGGAUCUUCGGACCUUGCGCGAUUGAAUGAGCGGAUGUCGGAUUAGCUAGUUGGCGGGGUACAGGCCCACCAAGGCGACGAUCCGUAGCUGGUCUGAGAGGAUGAUCGGCCACACUGGAACGUGGACAGCGUCAAGGCUCCUACGGGAGGCAGCAGUGGGGAAUAUUAGACAAUGGGCGCAAGCCUGAUCCAGCCAUACCGCGUGGGUGAAGAAGGCCUUCGGGUUGUAAAGCCCUUUUGUUGGGAAAGAAAAGCAGCAGGUUGAUACCCCGCUGUUCUGACGGUACCGAAAGAAUAAGCACCGGCUAACUUCGUG